rnacentral:rRNA from 1 species
GAAUAUUGGACAAUGGGGGAAACCCUGAUCCAGCGACGCCGCGUGGGUGAAGAAGGCCUGCGGGUUGUAAAGCCCUUUCGGUGGGGAAGAAAUGCUCGGAGCUAAUACCUCCGGGCUUUGACGUAACCCACAGAAGAAGCACCGGCUAACUCUGUGCCAGCAGCCGCGGUAAUACAGAGGGUGCGAGCGUUAAUCGGAAUUACUGGGCGUAAAGCGCGCGUAGGCGGCUUUGCAAGCCGGAUGUGAAAUCCCCGGGCUUAACCUGGGAACUGCAUUCGGGACUGCAUUGCUAGAGUAUGGGAGAGGGAAGUGGAAUUUCAGGUGUAGCGGUGAAAUGCGUAGAUAUCUGAAGGAACACCAGUGGCGAAAGCGACUUCCUGGACCAAUACUGACGCUCAUGUGCGAAAGCGUGGGGAGCAAACAG